rnacentral:rRNA from 1 species
UGAGUACAAGAUGCUACGGCAUUGAAGCAGUCUAUGUCAUACUUCCAAGAAAAGCUUGCAAUGUCAUAAACAAAUAAUGCCUGUACCAUAACCGACACAGGUGGGUAGGUAGAGUAUACUAAGGGGCGCGAGAUAACUCUCUCUAAGGAACUCGGCAAAAUGACUCCGUAACUUCGGGAGAAGGAGUACCUUAUUUUAUAAGGUUGCAAUAACAAGGUCCAAGCAACUGUUUACCAAAAACACAGGUCUCCGCUAAGUCGUAAGACGAUGUAUGGGGGCUGACGCCUGCCCAGUGCCAGAAGGUUAAAGAAGCUGGUUAGCAUUAGCGAAGCUGAUAACUGAAGCCCUGGUGAACGGCGGCCGUAACAAUAACGGUCCUAAGGUAGCGAAAUUCCUUGUCGGGUAAGUUCCGACCCGCACGAAAGGCGUAAUGAUUUGGAUACUGUCUCGGAGAGGGGCUCGGUGAAAUAGACUUGUCUGUGAAGAUGCGGACUACCUGCACCUGGACAGAAAGACCCUAUGAAGCUUUACUGUAACUUGAGAUUGAAAUUGGACUUUAUUUGCGCAGUAUAGGUGGGAGACCUCGAAAGUAUUCUUGCGGGAAUAUUGGAGUCAUCAGUGAGAUACCACUCUUAUAAUGUUAGAUUUCUAACUUUGUAUCAUUAUCUGGUCAAAGAACAGUUCCAGGCGGGCAGUUUGACUGGGGCGGUCGCCUCCCAAAUGGUAACGGAGGCGCACAAAGGUUUCCUCUGAACGUGUAGAAAUCGUAUCUAGAGUGUAAAGGCAUAAGGAAGCUUGACUGUGAGACCUACAAGUCGAGCAGGGACGAAAGUCGGUCUUAGUGAUCUGACGGUGCUGAGUGGAAAGGCCGUCACUCAACGGAUAAAAGUUACUCUAGGAUAACAGGCUGAUCUCCCCCAAGAGUUCACAUCGACGGGGAGGUUUGGCACCUCGAUGUCGGCUCAUCGCAUCCUGGGGCGGUAGUACGUCCCAAGGGUUGGGCUGUUCGCCCAUGAAAGCGGUACGCGAGCUGGGUUCAGAACGUCGUGAGACAGUUCGGUCCAUAUCCGGUGUAGGCGUUAGAAUAUUGAGAGGAGCCUUCUUUAGUACGAGAGGACCGAGAAGGACAUACCUCUGGUGUACCAGUUAUCGUGCCAACGGUAAACGCUGGGUAGCUAUGUAUGGAGAGGAUAACCGCUGAAAGCAUCUAAGUGGGAAGCCCACCUCAAGAUAAGUAUUCUC